rnacentral:sRNA from 1 species
ACGGGGUUAGAAAGGGACAGAUUUGAAAGCCAUUCCAGCAGUUUUGUCUGGCCUUGCGGUUGGUUUCUGUGUGGAAGAGCCUGCCGCUUCAGGGAAGUCUUAGGACGUGAACUCCCGCCUUCACCUGCCCCUGACCUGCUUGUUGUGGGUGAUUCACGCCAUGGGAAUGGUUCUUUACGUAAGGGCUUGAAAGCUGAACAUUUCCUUUGGCUUCAAAGCUCUCUCACCAUAUUUUGGGAAGUUAUGGAUCAUCACAUUCCCAUGCAUGCUUUGCCUGAAGAAAUCCAAAAGAUGUUGCCUGAAGAAAAAGUUUGUAAGUACUGUGGAGUCAGCUAUCUAAUUCUUCAUGAAUUUAAGGCUAUGGAAGAAAAAGUGAAAGCAAUGGAAAAAGAGAUGAAAUUUUAUCAAGGAAGUGUAGAUCGUGAAAAGAGACUUCAAGAAAAGCUGCAUUCUCUUAGCCAAGAACUUGAACAGUACAAAAUUGACAACAAAUCCAA